UCAGGGAGCAGGAAAGAGAAACCCCCAUCCUUCUGCUGGAAGAUGUCUUAGUUUUAAAUAACCACAAACAUACAGCAAGUCAGCGAACCCCGCACCUUUAACAUGUUGAAGUUACACCCUUUAGAUUGAUGUGAUCUGAAAGACAUGAUGUUAUCCAUUAACUUUAGCUGUGGAUGUGAGCGACAGCCAGUGAAGAGACAGACGACUUAAUGCCGCAGUGUGACCUUUCCUGAUGAACAAAAUGGAGUCGUCUGAACACAAAAUCCUAUCAAGCACUAGAGACUUCAAAUCAAGAACGGCCGGUGGGACGCUGUAGGGAGUUGUGGUUUUCAAAAAGAAAUAUUUACGCUAGUUCAAUGCAGAAAACGUGGUAAUUAACUACAAUGACCAGAAUCCAUUGCGCAUAUUCUUCCCGGC